GGAAAAACGAUGAUGAAGAUUGAAAGAAUGAUAAACCAAUUCAGAGAACUAGUGGUUGCUGCGAACUAGUUUGGUCCAUUCUUGAGAGCCCUUCGGAGUUCAUGUGCUGAAAUACGACAGUAGGUACAUUCGGUUAAUCCGUUAUCUUGGAGACAUAUCUCCUUAAGAUGCGCAACCUGCGCAUGAAUGAGGGUGGCACCGCGGUUACAACCUUCCGCCCCUCAC
rnacentral:ncRNA from 1 species